AGAGUUUGAUCAUGGCUCAGAUUGAACGCUGGCGGCAUGCCUAACACAUGCAAGUCGAACGGCAGCACGGGCUUCGGCCUGGUGGCGAGUGGCGGACGGGUGAGUAAAGCGUAGGAACCUAUCCUUUUGUGGGGGACAACCCAGGGAAACUUGGGCUAAUACCGCAUAAGUCCUGAGGGAGAAAGCGGGGGAUCUUCGGACCUCGUGCUGAAGGAGGGGCCUACGUCCGAUUAGCUAGUUGGUAGGGUAAAGGCCUACCAAGGCGACGAUCGGUAGCUGGUCUGAGAGGACGAUCAGCCACACUGGGACUGAGACACGGCCCAGACUCCUACGGGAGGCAGCAGUGGGGAAUUUUUCGCAAUGGGGGCAACCCUGACGAAGCAAUGCCGCGUGAAUGAAGAAGGCCUUCGGGUUGUAAAGUUCUUUCGUGGGAGACGAAAAGGCAAGCGCUAAUAUCGUUUGCUGUUGACGUGAACCCAAGAAGAAGCACCGGCUAACUCCGUGCCAGCAGCCGCGGUAAUACGGAGGGUGCGAGCGUUAAUCGGAAUCACUGGGCGUAAAGGGCGCGUAGGCGGUUAGUUACGUCUGCCGUGAAAUCCCCGGGCUCAACCUGGGAAUGGCGGUGGAAACGGGCGGACUAGAGUAUGGGAGAGGGGUGAUGGAAUUCCAGGUGUAGCGGUGAAAUGCGUAGAGAUCUGGAGGAACAUCAGUGGCGAAGGCGGUCACCUGGCCCAAUACUGAC
rnacentral:rRNA from 1 species